AACGAACGCUGGCGGCAUGCCUAACACAUGCAAGUCGAACGAGACCUUCGGGUCUAGUGGCGCACGGGUGCGUAACGCGUGGGAACCUGCCCUUAGGUUCGGAAUAACUCCCCGAAAGGGGUGCUAAUACCGGAUAAUGUCUUCGGACCAAAGAUUUAUCGCCUUUGGAUGGGCUCGCGUUGGAUUAGCUAGUUGGUAAGGUAAAAGCGUACCAAGGCAACGAUCCGUAGCUGGUCUGAGAGGAUGAUCAGCCACACUGGGACUGAGACACGGCCCAGACUCCUAAGGGAGGCAGCAGUAGGGAAUAUUCCGCAAUGGGCGAAAGCCUGACGGAGCAACGGAGCGUGAGUGAUGAAGGUCUUCGGAUCGUAAAACUCUGUUAUUAGGGAAGAACAAAUGUGUAAGUAACUGUGCACGUCUUGAAGGUACAUAAUAAGAAAGCCACGGCUAACUACGUG
rnacentral:rRNA from 1 species